rnacentral:lncRNA from 1 species
UCCAGGAGGCAUCCACAAAACGCCAUCGUCCGGGAAUUGAUGGUAAAUUUUCUGCCUCUAUAUUUGGUACAACUCUUUGCGUCUGCAAAGUUUGUGCUUCCGUCUAUAGAGUUGAUUUUGUCUCUGCCAAAUUAAGAGUAUCCAUGGGAUCUAUAUCCAGAUUACUAAAGACUUUAUUAUUCCUGCAUUUCUAAAUAUAGCAUAGAAUCCAUGCAAAUUGGUGCUCAUCCAUCUUCGGGAUAACUCUCGAAAAAAGAUGAUAUAUAUUUGUAAAGAGCGAGUUGGUUGAAAUGAUCCACAUGCAAAUUGCUUAGUUUCUUUCUCUUAAAUAAUUUAAACUCUUAUUGACUAUUAAAUCCAAAAUUUAGUGAUAAAGAUAUUUUUACAAAUAAAUUAUAAUAUUAGUGUAUAUAUUUCAAACAUGUAAAAUAAUUAUAUUUUAUUACUGAAAUAUUUCUAUCAGUAGAGAACUUUUUAUUAAAGAGGAAAUUACAUGUUUACCAUUUUCAUGAUAUCACUUUUCAUUUUUACAACCACUAAGGAGACAUUUUCAAAA